CAAAAUCCAAAUUCAUGAGAAUGAGGAGAAGAUGGCCCUUAACAAAACUGUCCGCAAGAAAGUUUGCGCAUAACUUGUAGAGAUGGCUUAUGCUAAAGCAUACGGGAUCAUCAAAUUACAAAAGUGCAGUUAAAGAAAUCAAAUUCAGAGACAAAAUGAAGUUGCCAUUCCCUGCACUAUAUUCUUCUUACAUAAAGGUGGUUCUGCUGAAGCUGCCGAGAGCCAAGAAGCGCCUUUGGCGGGGAUCUAACAAAGCUCCAGCAGGAGCGGCAGCCCCGUGCGGGGCCGGAGCGGCAGCUCCGAGCGCUCCGGCAUCAUCCACCCCCGCAGUGCCGCUCCGGAUUCGGCCGCAUCCAUCCCGGCAGCAUCCACCCCCGCAGCGCCGCUCCGGAUUCGGCC
rnacentral:lncRNA from 1 species